rfam:Homo sapiens chromosome 14, GRCh38 reference primary assembly.
GCCGGGUAUGGUGGUGCAUGCUUGUAGUCCCAGCCACUCGGGAGGCUGAGUUAGGGGAAUCAUUCGGGCCUGGGAGGUUGAGGCUGCAGUGAGCCAUAAUCAUGACACUGCACUUCAGCCUGGGCAACAGAGUGAGACCCUGUCUCAA